rnacentral:rRNA from 1 species
AUUGAACGCUGGCGGCAGGCCUAACACAUGCAAGUCGAACGAGUGGCGGACGGGUGAGUAAUGUCUGGGAAACUGCCUGAUGGAUGGGUAUAACUACUGGAAACGGUAGCUAAUACCGCAUACCAUCAGAUGUGCCCAGAUGGGAUUAGCUUGUUGGUUGGGUAACGGCUAACCAAGGCGACGAUCCCUAGCUGGUCUGAGAGGAUGACCAGCCAAACUGGAACUGAGACACGGUCCAGACUCCUACGGGAGGAAGCAGGUGGGAAUAUUGCACAAGGGGCGCAAGCCUGAUACAGCCAUGCCGCGUGUAUGAAGAAGGCCUUCGGGUUGUAAAGUAAUUUCAGCGGGGAGGCGUUACCCGAAGAAGAAGCACCGGCUAACUCCGUGCCAGCAGCCGCGGUAAUUC